ACCUACUGUUUAAUUUUGAGGGUUCGUUUUUACGAAUUCUCAAAAUUAGCACUUUUAGCAACAGAAUAAACUGAACGCAUGUGAAGUUUGUUUGUUGGCGCUGUGCGUUAGCACUUUAAGCAACGGGAUUUAUCCGUUGGCGCCGUGCUUUAGCACUUUGAAAACUGCAUAUAUAUUUAGUGAUAUGACAUCUAAUUUGUAAUAUAUAAAGCUGAUAACUUUUUAAAAUUAUCGAAGUUGAUAGCUUCUAAUCUAUCAAACCUUUUUAACUGGUCAA
rnacentral:misc_RNA from 1 species